rnacentral:rRNA from 1 species
UACAGAGGUCUCAAGCGUUGUUCGGAUUCAUUGGGCGUAAAGGGUGCGUAGGCGGCGCGGUAAGUCGGGUGUGAAAUCUUGGAGCUUAACUCCGAAACUGCAUUCGAUACUGCCGUGCUUGAGGACUGGAGAGGAGACUGGAAUUUACGGUGUAGCGGUGAAAUGCGUAGAUAUCUGGAGGAACACCGGUGGCGAAGGCGGCAUCCUGGACCAAUAUUGACGCUGAGGAGCGAAAGCUAGGGGAGCAAACGGG